AAAGGGAAAACCAGGACGGCACCGUAAUAAGGCCAUUGCAUGAUGGUCAGAAAGGUGAGAUCACGUGUGACGCAAAAAUGAGAGUGAUUGGUGUAAUCUUUUACAACAGCAGCUUUAUUGGAUCUGUGAAAUUUGAUGGGCGCACUUUUUUUUUAACUUUUUCUCACAUUAUUUUUCUUGAUUGGACGGAAUUCUCUUGGUUCGAUGGGUUUGAGAUCACUUCCUAAGGGCUGGGUUUGAUAGCUCUCGUAGUUUAACGGGCCUAACAUGGUUGAACCAAUACCACUUUCAAUGUAUUUUUCCAUUUUAUUUUGGAGGGAGUUCCUAUAGAGUCAAGACUAUAAAUAUUCAUAUCAAAA
rnacentral:lncRNA from 1 species